AUGAAACAGUUACCAAUGAGGACUUCUUCUUUUGGCUGGAUACCAAUACGCAUGGAUCAAAGCUUGUUAGCAGAGUUACUUCCCACCAAUGUCUCUCGGUCUUGUUAGGAAGUCUGCUCAGAGUUGGCCCUAGGAAGCUUAGUGUUGCUUGCAAAGGAGGGUUUGAACUGGGUAUUUUAAACCUCAAAGUGAGGGGACCAGGUCAUAGAAGGGUGAGAAAACUGAUGCAAUGACGCAGCUCCCAGAAUUUAACAGAGAGAGAGAAAGAAAGCAGGCACUGAAGUUCCCGUAUUAACUCAAGACAUACAGAGGAAGCCUACCUGAACCAGAGCUCCUUGGGGGAACAAGAAGCCACAGGAUCUCCCCUGAGGCAAGAAGGACAACAACUCAGAAGCCAGGGCUUCUGCUUGGCCUGUAGUUCUUGUGCAGGUCUCUCGGAUGGUCAUGGGGAAACUCAUCUGCUCCUUGUGCCUAGCACUGAUUGUUAGGAACAGGAGUGUAAUGAAGAAUUAGUCCUGCAAAUAGCUUUCUUUGGUGCAGCAAGACUUUUGGACAAAAUAUAAAAUCAUCCUUUAAAAGUUUAAGAUCUGACUAAAGCUAUUUGCUGAAUUUGACCUCAGUCUAAAAAUGACCUCAGCUGUUCUGAAACUGCA
rnacentral:lncRNA from 1 species